rnacentral:rRNA from 1 species
GAUGAACGCUGGCGGCGUGCCUAAUACAUGCAAGUCGAGCGAACAGACGAGGAGCUUGCUCCUCUGACGUUAGCGGCGGACGGGCGAGUAACACGUGGAUAACCUACCUAUAAGACUGGGAUAACUUCGGGAAACCGGAGCUAAUACCGGCUAACAUGUUGAACCGCAUGGUUCAACAGUGAAAGACGGUCUUGCUGUCACUUAUAGAUGAAUCCGCGCCGCAUUAGCUAGUUGGUAAGGUAACGGCUUACCAAGGCAACGAUGCGUAGCCGACCUGAGAGGAUGAUCAGCCACACUGGAACUGAGACACGGUCCAGACUCCUACGGGAGGCAGCAGUAGGGAAUCUUCCGCAAUGGGCGAAAGCCUGACGGAGCAACGCCGCGUGAGUGAAGAAGGUCUUCGGAUCGUAAAACUCUGUUAUUAGGGAAGAACAAAUGUGUAAGUAACUAUGCACGUCUUGACGGUACCUAAUCAGAAAGCCACGGCUAACUACGUG